GUUUUGACACAUAAAUGUCCUCAACAGAAUUCCCCACACUUAGACUUUGCUAGUCCUCAAGCAAA